UUUGCAGAGGAUGCUUUUGGCGCGGUGCCUUCUGAGUUCCCUGGAACGGGACGCCGGAGAGGGUGAGAGCCCCGUACAGUUGGACACCAAGCCUUUGUAAAGCUCCUUCGACGAGUCGAGUAGUUUGGGAAUGCUGCUCAAAAUGGGAGGUAAAUGCCUUCUAAAGCUAAAUACCGGCCAGAGACCGAUAGCGCACAAGUAGAGUGAUCGAAAGAUGAAAAGCACUUUGAAAAGAGGGUUAAACAGUACGUGAAAUUGUUGAAAGGGAAGCGCUCGUGACCAGACUUGCGCCCGGCGGAUCAUCCGGCCUUCUGGCCGGUGCACUCCGCCGGGCUCAGGCCAGCAUCGGUUUUCCUGGGGGGACAAAAGCGGCGGGAACGUAGCUCCUCCGGGAGUGUUAUAGCCCGCCGCAGCAUACCCCCGGGGGGACCGAGGACCGCGCUUCGGCAAGGAUGCUGGCGUAAUGGUCACCAGCGACCCGUCUUGAA
rnacentral:rRNA from 1 species